rnacentral:rRNA from 1 species
UAAUACGGAGGGUGCAAGCAUUAAUCGGAAUUAUUGGGCGUAAAGGGCGCGUAGGCGGAUUUCCAAGUCAGAUGUGAAAUUCCGAAGCUCAACUUCGGAGCUGCAUUUGAAACUGGAGACCUAGAGGGAUGGCGGAGAAAACGGAAUUCCACGUGUAGCGGUGAAAUGCGUAGAUAUGUGGAGGAACACCUGUGGCGAAAGCGGUUUUCUAGCUUAUACCUGACGCUGAGGCGCGAGAGCAAGGGGAUCAAACAGGAUUAGAUACCCUGGUAGUCCUUGCCGUAAACGAUGUAUACUUGAUGUAGUUAGGCUCAACCCUGACUGUGUCGAAGCGAACGCGAUAAGUAUACCGCCUGAGGAGUACGCUCGCAAGGGUGAAACUCAAAAGAAUUGACGGGGGCCCGCACAAGCAGUGGAGCAUGUGGUUUAAUUCGAUGCAACGCGAAGAACCUUACCCAGGCUCGAAAUGCAGUGGGCGAUAUCAGAAAUGAUAUUUUCC